rnacentral:lncRNA from 10 species
CUAGGGUCACUCCGCGGCUGUCGGCUGUCGCCAUAGUAACCAGACUGAGCGGGCUGGGCAGCCGCUCUACUCUCCCACCUCUGGCUGGGGAAACAAUCCUGGUCCACCUUAUUUGGAACUAGCUAGUGAGACUAGCUAUUUGAUUAGAAUUUCUGAAUUGGAGGAGCCUAAAGGGGAUGGGAAAGAGAGCAGAGACCCUACAGAGACGCCCCCCUCAACCCCCAACAAACAUCCUGCCUUCGGAUACUGCCCCUGAACUCUUAGACACAGCACCCACCCUUUACUGCACACACACACCCCUCCAGGAACUUGUGGUCUGGCACCUGGAGACGUAGAAUGAGAAAAAGGCCACAGUGAGUAACAUUUAGUUAAAUCUCACUUUUGACAUGCCCCAAGGCAUGAAACACUGCCAUAAUCCGAUUAGGAGGGGAGGGACUGGAGAAGGAUCAACAAGAAUACAUGGAAGAAUUAGCCUCCUGGGUCAGACUUAUCGGAGUCCUGUUUUCUCAGGGAUUGAGUGGGAGAAGUUGUAAGGAGAAAGACCCAGAACAGUCUUCUGAGAAGGCAAGGGGAGGAGGGAGUAAGUGCAGAAACAGAAUAAGGUACCUUCUUUCCUGACGCUGAGUUAACCUGGGGAAAGUGAGUCCAAGCUGCUGAUAAGGUGGUGCAGGGGGACCAGAAUUUUAGAGAGAAACCAGAAAGGAAGAGGGGUGGACUAAGGAAAAGAUGGAGGUGGAGGAAAGGAGACAGAAACCCAGCUGGAGCAAUGACUCAGCAAUUCCCCUAAGCAAAGGGCUGGAGUGACUCUCCCAGCACAGGAGCAGCUGUGAGGGCAGGAAAGCAAAUGGACAGAUAACCGGUAAUUCACCCCUUCACAUGACACAUGUUGAUGCGUACACUGACGCAUAACCAAAGGCACACAUUUUAACCCAGAAGUGGACACAAAUGCAUUUAUACUGGUGAAUCAUAACAUAUACACACCUCUACUCCUUUCCUCCCUGUCCCCCUUCCUGGAACAGAGGACAUUCUGUUUUGGAGCCAUGUUCCCCUGUCCCUGGAAUACCUCGCUACUUAUUAGAAAAGCAGAAAUGCAAAAAAUCACAGACAUGUGGGGGGAGUUGUCAUGGUAACUGCUUUGCCUGCCAGGCGGGGUGCCCAGCAACCAGAGCAUCUAACAGUAUUCAAGAGGACAUCCUGUGGUCUCCACUUACUGGGAUCCUACCCCAGGCAACCAGAUGGGCAGCUUUUGAAGAUGUCUGCAACAGAGGCUGCUGAAGAAGCCCCUCCAGUCACAUCAUCAUGAUCAGGGACAGCUGGAAGCCAGGUGUAUGGGCCUGAUCUUCUUUAGGUACCCCACUUUAAGUAGCACUUCUGGUCUCUUUAAAUAUAGACGUUUGCUGUGAGUGGCUUCAAGACAGCAGGAUUAACACUUCAAAGGCCCUUAUUUAAGAACAUGACCUGACUGGGAGUGGUGGUUCACACCUGUAAUCCCAGCACUUUGGGAGGCCGAGGCGGGUGGAUCACUUGAGGCCAGGAGUUUGAGACUAGCCUGGCCAACAUGGUGAAACCCUGUCUCUACUAAAAAUACAAAAAUUAGCUGGGUAUGGUGUUGCGUGCCUGUACUCCCAGCUACUCGGGACUCAGGAG